rnacentral:rRNA from 1 species
GACGAACGCUGGCGGCGUGCUUAACACAUGCAAGUGGUGCGACGAACCAGGCUUCGGCCUGGGGCGAAGCCGCGAACGGGUGAGUAAUACAUCGGAACGUGCCCAGUAAUGGGGGAUAACUAUCCGAAAGGAUAGCUAAUACCGCAUACGCCCUGAGGGGGAAAGUGGGGACCGCAAGGCCUCACGUUAUUGGAGCGGCCGAUGGCUGAUUAGCGAGUUGGUGAGGUAAAGGCUCACCAAGGCGACGAGCAGUAGCAGGUCUUAGAGGACGAUCCGCCACACUGGAACUGAGACAGAUGCCAGACUCCUACGGGAGGCGGCAGUGGGGAAUUUUGGACAAUGGGGGCAACCCUGCUCCAGCCAUGCCGCGUGAGUGAAGAAGGCCUUCGGGUUGUACAGCUCUUUCGGCCGGGAAGAAAUCGCAUCAGCUAAUACCUGGUGUGGAUGACGGUACCGGAAUAAGAAGCACCGGCUAACUACGUGCCAGCCGCCGCAGUAA